rnacentral:rRNA from 1 species
GACGAACGCUGGCGGCGUGCUUAACACAUGCAAGUCGAACGGAAAGGCCCUGCUUUUGUGGGUUGCUCGAGUGGCGAACGGGUGAGUAACACGUGAGUAACCUGCCCUUGACUUUGGGAUAACUUCAGGAAACUGGGGCUAAUACCGGAUAGGAGCUCCUGCUGCACGGUGGGGGUUGGAAAGUUUCGGCGGUUGGGGAUGGACUCGCGGCUUAUCAGCUUGUUGGUGGGGUAGUGGCUUACCAAGGCUUUGACGGGUAGCCGGCCUGAGAGGGUGACCGGCCACAUUGGGACUGAGGUACGGCCCAGACUCCUACGGGAGGCAGCAGUGGAGAGUAUUGCACAAUGGGCGGAAGCCAGAUGCAGCAACGCCGCGUGCGGGAUGACGGCCUUCGGGUUGUAAACCGCUUUCGCCUGAGACGAAGCGUGAGUGACGGUAAUGGGUAAAGAAGCACCGGCUAACUACGUG